rnacentral:rRNA from 1 species
UGAGGAAUAUUGGACAAUGGGCGCAAGCCUGAUCCAGCCAUGCCGCGUGCAGGAUGACGGUCCUAUGGAUUGUAAACUGCUUUUAUACGGGAAGAAACCCUGCUACGUGUAGCAGACUGACGGUACCGUAAGAAUAAGGAUCGGCUAACUCCGUGCCAGCAGCCGCGGUAAUACGGAGGAUCCAAGCGUUAUCCGGAAUCAUUGGGUUUAAAGGGUCCGUAGGCGGCCUUAUAAGUCAGUGGUGAAAUCUCACGGCUCAACCGUGAAAUGGCCAUUGAUACUGUAGGGCUUGAAUUACCAGGAAGUAACUAGAAUAUGUAGUGUAGCGGUGAAAUGCUUAGAUAUUACAUGGAAUACCGAUUGCGAAGGCAGGUUACUACUGGUGGAUUGACGCUGAUGGACGAAAGCGUGGGUAGCGAACA